ACGAAUGCAGCUGAAGUGGCUCCGUAUCAGGUUCAGGGGAUGUCGGUGGACGUUCCGGCUGCGGACAGCUAACGCGUCCUCGGUCGGAGAGGCUGCCGACUUCCUUGCACUCCUGUUGGGAGCCGGCCAACAGCGGUUGUUCCUGGCCCAGAAGGCCGGUCGGGAGGUACCUCCGCACUCGUGCAGAGAACGUAUAGCCGUCCGGUUCGGCGGUCUGGGAGCGACCGAGGAGAGUCGUGAACUUUCACGCUUGCAGCGCAGGCCCCUCGGGGCCGGGUCGCCUCUGUUCGUUUGGGCCCCGCGGUUGGGACUGCUUGCAGUGUCUGCCGACGGUCAGCCUGCUCGGUCGGGGGAUUGGCCACGCCUU
rnacentral:misc_RNA from 1 species